CGCCACUGUGAUAAUCACCGGCAGUCACUGAGAGAGAGCGAGAGAGCGAGAAAGAAAGAAAGAAAGAGAGAGAGAGAGAGAGAGAGAGAGAGAGAGAGAGAGAGAGAGAAAGAGAGAGAGAUGGAGAUUCUAAAGUAAACAUUAGGGACUCCCAUGGCAAGAUGGCUACUCAUUACUGGAAUGGAUGCAUGGAUGUUUUCCAAAAAUCUGACUCCCAGUCAGUCAAACAGAAUGUCUACUACAGGAGCUUUGUAUAAAGUGGUCAUGAGAGAGUUGGAGUCAGUACUAUGCCCUGUUAUCAGCUCGGCUGUCUCGCUCUGGCAAUCAGAGAAGCCUCAGUACAGAACUGGAGCCUGA
ensembl:lncRNA